AAGGUGCUAAAGCUGUUCAAGACUUCACCACAUGAGGUUCGACUGACUCUCUGUCGGCCUGCACCAGGGAUCCUUCCUUCCAUUGAUCAGUUUACUGGGACAUGAGUGAUGUUGCAGUGUUACACAGCAACACUGUGCUCUCUGAUCAGUCAGGAAGUGGUGAUGGAGACUGAGGACAGAAUGAACACUACGGGUGUUCUGAUCAAUGCAUUAAGCUGAUUUUAUCGAUGACCUACAAAGCUGCAGAAAGGAAAUCCAGAAGAGUCAUUUUGUUGACACCAACAGAAGAAGCCGUAAAAUAAUCAUUGGUAUACAUUUUGUUGAGAAUAUGUUGCAUCUUGAAAUCACUAAGAAAAUGGUGAACUGUACGUUUUCUGUGUGUUGGAAACUUCUGCUUUUGACCCCCCCCCCCCCCCCCAAGUUAAUUCAAGUUCACUGUUCAGAAAUACAAUGAAUACAAACCCUCAUUUUCCCACAAAUACAAAAGCUAUUAAACUGAGUUUGACCUAAUAUGGAUGAUCCACCCCCAAACACUCAUUUAGUAUCCUGACAAACCGGGUAGUAUGUGCACACUCACACACACACACACCUCCCUGGGUGAGGAGCCAGUAAUGGCCCCUCGUAAAUAAGGGUUCCUGUAUUUCAGUGAAACCCAGUAGUGCAUCUGGAUCCCAUCAGAGCUCGUGUUCCCUUUGCAAAUGAUCCCAAAUGUUUCUAAUUAUGCCAGUGGAGUCGGCACGAGGCUGUGUGAGCGCUUGUGUGUGUUUCCGUGUUCGUGUAAUCGCCCUGACGGACACGCACACCCGUACACUGGCCUCUGUUUAUUCAUGAACAGAGUAACAGAGAUGGACAGCGUGGUCUUGACCUCUACAGCCUUUCACAUAGGACACUGCAUGUGGUGAUGACUGAUGAGUGAAAGAUGGGGUGGAGAUGGUGGUGGCUCGUGGAAUGUGCAAAGAAAUUUAAAAUAUAAAAUCAAACAACUAUAUGUGGAGCAUAUGAAGUGAGAGAAAGCUUUUGUUGAAAUCCAUAGUUGUACAGGACCUUCCUUACAUUUGGAUUCAGGACAUUUACAUAUUGUAAGACAAGCACUCGGUAUGUAAGACCUGCAUCAUGUUAAAUAUAUGUAAAUUGUUUGAAUUUCAUCCAAUUUUGAAUACAAACCAAGUAAAUGUGACUGUUUGCA